AUCCCCAAAUGAAUCCUGAAUCCCUAACUCUCAAUCAUAAAAUCAUUUUUUUCUCUGUAAUAUCCCAACGUCGAGCCUCUCUUCUGCAAUAUCCCUCUCGUUGUUCUCUCUCCCUACACCUCUCCUCUGUUCUCUCUCCCUACGCCGAGCCAACCUCCUCUACAAUCUCUCUCCCUACGUCGAGCCUCUCCUCUACAAUCCAACGCAAACCAGGUGAACUAAAUGCGAACCACAAGAUGAUCUCCUAAAGUCAAGUCGAGCCCUGAUGCCUCUUCCCUCCUUAAAGUCGAGCCCAAAUAUCUCUUCUCCCCUAAAGCUAAGCCGAAACGAUCUCCUAGCUUGAACCCAAACCAACCUUCAACUCAACUCCAUUCUUGAACCCAAACCCAACGCUGAGCCCGUUCACAAUUGGAUCUGGGUGGGAUUUGCAGGAACUUUGCUACUUUCAGUUACAGUGAUUUUGCUUGUGAGACAUCUCUUUGCCAUUCUUAUUGGUGGACUAGAAGAAUACCCUUUACUCUUGUUACAAUGUCGAUGAUAAGAGUUGGACGACAUUAAGGAAUUGUAAUUGUGAUGCUUAUUGGAAUAUUCUCCAAGCCUUCUUGAAAAUGGCAAUAGAACACGUAGAGUGGGACGGGAGAAUUAAAUGUCUGUGCGUAAGGUGCCUCAAUGUUAAACUACAAACUAUAGAUAUGGUGGAGGCUUAUGUCUUUGACAAGGGUUUUCAACAGAAUUAUCAAUAAUGGGUUUACCACGGUGAGGUGGAAGUUGGUGUUGCCAAUGAGGUAGUUGAGGAGAAUGAAGAUGUAGAUGAGAUGGUUGAUGUCGUUGACGAUUUCAUCUUACCCACAAAUGUAGACGAAGCAGAAGGUGUGUCUGGCAGUCGAAUGGGACAGUAUUAUGAUGAGUUGUUCGGGGAGAUUGAAGCUGAGUUGUAACCGGGUUGUGAUUGGAUAUCAUCCUUAAACUUUUUGGCGAAGUUGAUGCAUUUUAAAGUUAGGGGGAAGUGGCCAAAUAACUCUUUCGAUGAAUUGUUAAAGUUACUAAAGUUUGCAUUUCCGAAAGAUAAUAAAAUUCCCCCAACACACUACGAGGCGAAAAAGAAGUUGAGUAAGUUAAGGUUGGGAUAUCAAUCAAUCCAUGUCUGUAAAUAUGAUUGUUGCUUAUUUAUAAUGAGCAUGCAAGCACAGAUUCAUGUCAUGUGUGUGGGAGUGGUCGAUGGGUCAAUGAAAAGAAGAAGGGGAAAAAGGUUCCACAUAAGGUGAUGCGUUACUUUCCAUUGACUCCCAGAUUAAAGCGAAUGAACAGUUCAAGGCAUACAUCUAAUGACAUGUUAUGGCAUCAUACUGGGAGAUCAAUAGAAUAUGGGGUGAUUUGUAAUGUGAUUGAUGGGUCUGCAUGGAAAGACUUUGAUGCCACACAUCUUGAUUUUUCAAAAGAUCCUAGAAAUAUUCAUCUAGGUUUGGGUGCUGAUGAGUUUAAUCCUUUUGGCAACAUGAGCUUAUCAUAGAGCAUGUGGCCUGUGAUUUUGUCGUUCUACAAUCUCCACCCUAGCUAUGCAUGAAGAAGGAGUAUUUUAUGCUAACUCUGCUUAUUCCUGGGCCAAAAUCACCGGGUAAAGACAUGGAUGUAUUUCUAACACCAUUGGUGGAUGAGUUAAAACAAUUGUGGAUUAACGGGGUCGACAUAAGAGAUGGCACAAGGAAUGAAUUGUUCAAGAUGCGUGCAACCCUUCUGUGGACAGUUAACGAUUUCCCUGCUCGUAGUAGCUUGUCUGGUUAGAGUGGGCAAGGGUACAAAUCAUGUCCAACAUGCAAUGAAGGCACCACUUCCAUCCGAGUGAUUGGUAAGUCAUCUUAUUUCGGUCAUAGGAAAUUCUUGAGGAGUAAUCAUAAGUAUAGAAGAGACAAAGAAUUUUAUGGCAAAGUUGAGAAAAGAAAUCAUCCACAACAGUUUACUUGUCAACAAAUUUUAGAUCAAGUCAAUGCUUUACCGCGUCAAGUGCCUAAUAAACAUGACAAAUUGGGUGGAGGGGGGUGAAGCGCAAGCGAGGUGCAGAUGAAAGUAAUUGGAGGAAAAAAAGUAUUUUCUAUGAACUUGAUUACUGGAGUUCAAACCAGUUAAAACACAACCUAGAUGUGAUGCAUGUCGAAAAGAAUGUGUGCGACAGUCUCCUUGGGACUUUGUUAGAUAAUGAUAAAUAUAAGGACACCACUAACGCAAGACAUGAUUUAAAAAAUAUGGGGGGUUAGGAAAUCAUUAUGGAUUUACGAGGAUGCCAAUAAAAGGUUAAUGAAACUGUAUGCUCCAUACGUGUUCACUCCUGAACAAAGGCGAGAUUUUUGUCAAUUUUUUAAAGGAGUGAAGUUUCCCGAUGGUUUUUGUUCUAAUCUGAAGAAAAAAGUCACAGACAAUGGCUUAAACAUUGUUGGGUUGAAGUCCCAUGAUUGUCAUGUGAUAAUGCAAUGAUUACUUGCAGUAGGUGUUCGCAAGUUUUUACCAAAAUCUAUAUCCACCACCACUAAAAAAUUGUGUAAUUUCUUCAAACAAUUUGAGAAACACUACAAUGGACCAGAGAUUUGGGACAAGGUUCUAAACAACCCAACCAAGGAUGUUAACAAGGAGGAGAGGAAGCAGAUCUGUCAGUUAUUUACAAGUUUGAAAUUUAUUGCGCGUUGCGUAAAGAAUAAGGAAAAUCAGAAGAAACAGAAGUAUUCUACAACGCAAGGUAUAAAAUCGCUGGCGGCCAUCCGUCACGAAAAAGUGAACCAGGACCUUAUUGAGUCAUGGAGGGAAUACCACUGGAAGAAAACAACAAAUGAUUUCGUGAACGACGAUGCUUGCCAAGAUUAUGAAAAACUGAAGGCUGAUUUUGAGUUACAAACUCAGCAAACAUCCGCUGCCGCUUCCAAUAAUGAUGGUUAGACAACAGUUGAUCAGGUGGAGGUACUACAAAAAGUAUUGGGCCAAAGGCGUAGACAUGAGCGAGGAGUGGGCCGCAAAUUGAAGGGGUCGGGGUCAUCAUCUACCCAACACUCUUCAGUGAGUCUCAAGCUCCUCGUCAACGUUCAUCAAAACAUAUAGAAAAAUUGGAGAAUAAUCUACAGAAAUUGACUGAACAAGUUAAUUUCUUAUCUCAAUUUUUUCCACCUUCAUUUCGUCCACCAAACGUUCAGAUGCCGCCUAUGCCUGAUAGUGACAAUAUUUCUGGAGCUUCGUCUUCUCAACCUCCAGCUCCAACCCAUCCUUCCAUGUACGGGGCAGCGCCGUCUCAACACAUGGUACCUCCAUACAUGUACGAAGCAACACCAUGACCUUAUCUGUGGCCGAUUCCAUUGUCGUCGCAGCCGCCAUAUCCCUACAUGUAUGAAGUAGGAUCGUCCACAUCACCUCACGUCGCCACAGCCACCACAACCGCAACAAGAAGAUAAUAGGGAGGACAAGGCGGCUGAUUUAGGAGAGUAGGUUUAUUUUAUUGUUAGUUAUUGUUACAUUAUAUGAACAAUAUAGAUAUUUGUUAUCUUAAUGUAUUAACAACAUGGAUAAUUGUUAUCUUAAUGAACUAAUUUAAAUAUUUAAUAUAAUAUUUUUAUUUUUAAUAUAUUUGUUUUCAAUGAUUUAAA